AUUACAUGGGGGCACCUGAUCAGCCAUGCCGCGUGAGUGAUGAAGGCCCUAGGGUUGUAAAGCUCUUUUGUGCGGGAAGAUAAUGACGGUACCGCAAGAAUAAGCCCCGGCUAACUUCGUGCCAGCAGCCGCGGUAAUGUAC
rnacentral:rRNA from 1 species